ACAUAAAUAUUCACAAACAUUUCCAAUUUCCAAGAAAGUGGAAGAGACACAAUGUUUCAUUGUGGAUUCAAUUUUCUGUUGUGUGGUGAGCAUCCUAUGCAUUAGUUAGCAAGAUUUCUUCUCUAUCUGAACUUCAUUUAAACAAUUGUGUGCUCCAUAAUGCUACUCAGAAAUCUAUUUCCCAUUUGAAUUCUUCUGUUACUCUAAAAUUCAUCCAUUUGAAAAACUUAUUGGAAUUCUUUCUACCAAAAAGAUGGUUUUUUGAUAGGUCAAGUGAUUCCAAUAUUGGCUAAUGCUACAAGUUUUGCUAUACUUUUGGGUAUCUCUCAUGAUAAUCGGUUUUAUAACAUGUGCAAUCUAUCAUUUACUGGAUCACUCUAUAAACAAUCUUAUAAGGGAAAUACCAGUGUUUUGGUGACUUAAGAGCCUUAUCAAAUUCUACAUUUUCAAGAGAAAGCUUUCACCAUUUCUCAUCAUCAUUUCUCUAUAUAGAAAGUGACAAAGCUUUCUCCUUUAAUGAUGAUGAAAUACUAGCUUGGAAAGGAUCAAACAGAUAAUAUUAUGAAAACCAUUGAUCUUUCUUGCAACCAAUUAUCUGUUUCAUCCUUUCCAAGCUAGUAUCUCAUCAUCAUUAAAGGAGAUAGCUUUGUCACUUUCUAUAUAGAGAAAUGAUGAUGAGAAAUGGUGAAAGCUUUCUCUUGAAAGUGUUGAAUUUGAUAAGGCUCUUAAAUCACCAAAACACUGUGGUAUUUCCCUUAUAAUAUUGUUUAUAGAGAGAUCCAGUACUUGAAGAAAUGAUAGAUUGCACAUGUUAUAAAACCAACUAUCCAGAUGAUGUGAUUUCUUCGACUGGAAGCCAUGAGAAACAUGACACAAGUGAAGAUGAAGAUAAGCUCAUUACCUUUGAGUUUUAUGUUAGCCUGGAGCUUGGUUUUAUAAAAACAUCAUGGAGACAUGCAUAUUUCAAAUUUUUCAACAACAUCAAUAAUUGGAUUCAACUCACACUAGCUGUUUUUGUAAUUAAUUUGAAAAAGAGAUUCAAAGUCGAAAACUAACAGGUAAAGCUUCUUGACUCGAGGAAGUGAUAUGUCACAAUGUGUUCGUCAAUAUAUGUUUCAUUCGGAAUGUGUAUGUUGAAGUCUAGAUUAUUCUUUAGGCACUCUUUUUCUAUUGUUCUGUCUCUCUUGAUUAUGAAAUUUCUAAUUAAUGUAUUAUAAAAA